AUGCAUCAGUCAUGAUAUAGACAAUUUCCGCCACUGCCCGAUGUUCCUUUGUGCCCCUUCCCCAUCAAUCCUCAGACUUCCAGCAGCCACAGAUCCACUUCCUGUCACCUAGAUUCACUUGACCUCACGAGGUCACGCUCCCCUUCUGGCUCCUGGCAGCUGCGAGGGCAUUUCUAGGGGUGGAGUCCAGGUCACAGAAAUAAUUGGGG